rnacentral:rRNA from 1 species
AUUGAACGCUGGCGGCAGGCUUAACACAUGCAAGUCGAGCGGGGAGAUGUAGCUUGCUACAUAUCCUAGCGGCGGACGGGUGAGUAAUGCUUAGGAAUCUGCCUAUUAGUGGGGGACAACAUUCCGAAAGGAAUGCUAAUACCGCAUACGCCCUACGGGGGAAAGCAGGGGAUCUUCGGACCUUGCGCUAAUAGAUGAGCCUAAGUCGGAUUAGCUAGUUGGUGGGGUAAAGGCCUACCAAGGCGACGAUCUGUAGCGGGUCUGAGAGGAUGAUCCGCCACACUGGGACUGAGACACGGCCCAGACUCCUACGGGAGGCAGCAGUGGGGAAUAUUGGACAAUGGGCGCAAGCCUGAUCCAGCCAUGCCGCGUGUGUGAAGAAGGCCUUUUGGUUGUAAAGCACUUUAAGCAAGGAGGAGGCUCCUUUAGUUAAUACCUAAAGAGAGUGGACGUUACUCGCAGAAUAAGCACCGGCUAACUCUGUG